rnacentral:sRNA from 1 species
GCCAGGUGUGGUGGCGCACGCCUGUAAUCUCAGCGACUUGGGAGGCUGAGACAGGAGGAUCGUGAGUUCAAAGACAGCCUCAGCAAUGAUGAGGGGAUAAGCAACUCAGUGAGAUCCUGUCUCUA